rnacentral:rRNA from 1 species
GUGGGGAAUCUUAGACAAUGGGGGCAACCCUGAUCUAGCCAUGCCGCGUGAGUGAUGAAGGCCUUAGGGUUGUAAAGCUCUUUCAGUGGGGAAGAUAAUGACGGUACCCACAGAAGAAGCCCCGGCUAACUCCGUGCCAGCAGCCGCGGUAAUACGGAGGGGGCUAGCGUUGUUCGGAAUUACUGGGCGUAAAGCGCACGUAGGCGGAUCGGAAAGUUGGGGGUGAAAUCCCAGGGCUCAACCCUGGAACUGCCUUAAAAACUAUCGGUCUGGAGUACGAGAGAGGUGAGUGGAAUUCCGGGUGUAGAGGUGAAAUUCGUAGAUAUUCGGAGGAACACCAGUGGCGAAGGCGGCUCACUGGCUCGGUACUGACGCUGAGGUGCGAAAGCGUGGGGAGCAAACAGGAUUAGAUACCCCUGUAGUCC